rnacentral:rRNA from 1 species
UACGAAGGGGGCUAGCGUUGCUCGGAAUCACUGGGCGUAAAGGGUGCGUAGGCGGGUCUUUAAGUCAGAGGUGAAAUCCUGGAGCUCAACUCCAGAACUGCCUUUGAUACUGAAGAUCUUGAGUUCGGGAGAGGUGAGUGGAACUGCGAGUGUAGAGGUGAAAUUCGUAGAUAUUCGCAAGAACACCAGUGGCGAAGGCGGCUCACUGGCCCGACAUUGACGCUGAGGAGCGAAAGCCAGGGGAGCAAACGGG